rnacentral:tRNA from 1 species
UUUAUAUAGUUUAAACAAAACGCUAGAUUGUGAUUCUAGUAAUAGAGAA